GUUCGAAUAUAAAUUUGGGCAUUCAACGACAUUAAAACUCUUGUGAAGAGUUUAUCGUUCAUUUAGGUCUCACAAAACUCAAGAAACUAGUCUUUACGAUCAUACACAAGGGUACCCCGAUUACAAAUAAAACAAAGAAAAGAAAAAUGCAAUCUGACCCCAACACCAUACUCUACUUUGAUGGGAAAAGAAAUCUUCAUGCUCCCCUUAAACAGGGAGAAAAGAUUAUAAAUGUUUUCAGUCUUUGCCUGUAUCUCUGUCUCUAAAAACAGAUGCUAUUUUUUGUAAAAUUGCAUUAAUAUUAGUUAUGUCUUUUUGAAGAUUAAUGUUGUAAGCUUAUCUAGGGAUAAACAACAGAUAAAUUAUGAACAAAUGAUCGCGGAAACAUUUGUUCACAAAACAUUGUGUUGCUUGAGGACAUGAAUGUGUGAUUUAAGAUGGAGGAAAAAUAACAGAACACAAAUUCAAUUAACCUUUAAAGAAUGCCUGCUCCGGCUCCGGCUCCUUGGUACAAUAAACAAUUGGUGUGAUUCUGUAGUAUCAUGGCAAAAGUAAUGCUUUUCUAUUCUUUAUCUCAUCAAGCCUUGCUCUAAAAUAUAAGGACACGCAGGUCACCGGAAUCCAACUUCUCGUGUAAGAGUUUUUGUUGAUUUUGAGCAAUGCAAGAGAGAACAGAAUUUCCCAAAAUAUAAAGCUACAAUUUUAAAUAAAUGAGUAGACUCAACUAUUUCAUUACCACCAUGACACUUGAAAAAAGAAUGUGUCAGAAAUUAUUUGCUUCUGCAACCUUUUGAAUAUGAGUAAAUAGAAAAGCUAAUUGAUGGCGGGCUGCUAAUGUGCCAAAGAUAAAUUGUAUUGCAGAUCAAAGCAAAACUCCAGCAAUUCACAUAUUUGCUACAAACAAAUAUCAUCAACUUCCAUGAACCAUUCAUUUUUGGAUAUCUGCAGGGUCAUUAUCUCCUGCAAAUCAGCAAAAAAGUGACUAAGAAAAUUAGCAAAAAGUAAAAAAAAAAAAUUGGGAAAAGGUUUGAUCAAUCAAGACGAAGUUCAUUCCAAGGGCUGAAAUAGUUAUUAUUAAUGCUGGAAGAAUAAAAGGCUUUCAAUGAUGCUAUUAGUUAAAGAAUAUGGAGAUAUAGCUGCCAUGCUCUUCAUGUCAGCAUGCUGAACAACAUUCAUUUUACCGAAACCUACUUUCCUCUCAGAGGCAUCAUCAACUUAUUUAAUAUUGUCAGCUAUUAGUUAUUGUUAUAACGAAAAUGAUUAUUGCCAAUGCCACCAAGCUAACUUUGUGAUAAGCACUGGAACAAUGUGGCAACAGACAAAAUACCUGUGCUCUAACUUUAUAUAUAACACUAGAAGAUUAAAGAAAGACUAAUGACUAGUCAUCAUAAAUAAAAAGGUGAAACUCAAGGACGAGGAUGAAACAACUCCAUAACACCAAAACCAAAACCACCACCAUGAGCAAAAUGUACCAACUUGU
rnacentral:lncRNA from 1 species